rnacentral:tRNA from 1 species
GCCGGAGUGGCGGAAUUGGCAGACGCGCUUGGUUUAGGACCAAGUAUCGUAAGAUGUGGAGGUUCGAGUCCUCUCUCCGGCACCA